GGGUCACAAAAUCUUCUUUCUUCCAUUGAAAACAUCAUUCCAGGGGGAAGCCAGUCACUAGCUUCCAACUGUCCCUGCGAAAUCGUGUCGGAAAUAAACUCUUUGGUAAACGAAGAACAAGAGAGUGGUCUCGCAAGCCAAGUCAGGACAGCUCAAAGUUGUCGAAAGAAUAACCUCGAUCGAUCGAACAGUUUGAGUCUGAAGAAAGGCACCAAGAAGGUGAAUGAGUCGGUGAAGGUUCACACAACAGGUGCUGCACAAAGGCCGGGCAAGAAAAAUGGAAUCGUCGGGCGGUUGAAUUCGAGGACGGAGCUAGCUGAAGCUUGGCGUUGAACGAACUGAACGGUAUUACACGCAUCACACAUGGUUCUCUCUCUUUCAUUUUAUGCUGGUGGGGAGUGGUGAUAACUGUUUAAAAUAUGGCCUUUUGAUUUUGUUGCUGUUGAGAUGGUGUGUAUGAGUUUUAUAUAUACAUUCAAAUGUGC
rnacentral:misc_RNA from 1 species